rnacentral:rRNA from 1 species
GACGAACGCUGGCGGCGUGCUUAACACAUGCAAGUCGAACGGAAAGGCCCUGCUUUUGUGGGGUGCUCGAGUGGCGAACGGGUGAGUAACACGUGAGUAACCUGCCCUUGACUUUGGGAUAACUUCAGGAAACUGGGGCUAAUACCGGAUAGGAGCUCCUGCUGCAUGGUGGGGGUUGGAAAGUUUCGGCGGUUGGGGCUGGACUCGCGGCUUAUCAGCUUGUUGGUGGGGUAGUGGCUUACAAAGGCUUUGACGGGUAGCCGGCCUGAGAGGGUGACCGGCCACAAUGGGACUGAGAUACGGCCCAGACUCCUACGGGAGGCAGCAGUGGGGAAUAUUGCACAAUGGGCGGAAGCCUGAUGCAGCAACGCCGCGUGCGGGAUGACGGCCUUCGGGGUGUAAACCGCUUUCGCCUGUGACGAAGCGUGAGUGACGGUAAUGGGUAAAGAAGCACCGGCUAACUACGUG